GGGCAACAGAGCUAUGAAAAGGGUAGAGGCGUCUCAGAGGUAGACUAGAGGCAGAGGGGCCACAGAGCUAGGAAAAGGGUAGAGGCGUCUCAGAGGUAGACUAGAGGCAGAGGGGCCACAGAGCUAGGAAAAGGGUAGAGGCGUCUCAGAGGUAGAAUAGGGGCAGAGGGGCCACAGAGCUAGGAAAAGGGUAGAGGCGUCUCAGGGGUAGGAACAGGGUAGGGGGCCACAGAGCUAGGAAAAGGAUAGAGGGGUCUCAGAGGUAGAAUAGGGGCAGAGGGGCCACAGAGCUAUGAAAAGGGUAGAGGCGUCUCAGAGGUGGAAAAGGGGCAGAGGGGCCACAGAGCUAGGAAAAGGGUAGAGGGGUCUCAGAGGUGGAAAAGGGGCAGAGGGGCCACAGAGCUAGGAAAAGGGUAGAGGGGUCUCAGAGGUGGAAAAGGGGCAGAGGGGCCACAGAGCUAGGAAAAGGGUAGAGGCGUCUCAGAGGUAGACUAGAGGCAGAGGGGCCACAGAGCUAGGAAAAGGGUAGAGGCGUCUCAGAGGUAGACUAGAGGCAGAGGGGCCACAGAGCUAGGAAAAGGGUAGAGGGGUCUCAGAUGUGGAAAAGGGGCAGAGGGGCCACAGAGCUAGGAAAAGGGUAGAGGGGUCUCAGAGGUAGAAUAGGGGCAGAGGGGCCACAGAGCUAGGAAAAGGGUAGAGGCGUCUCAGAGGUGGAAAAGGGGCAGAGGGGCCACAGAGCUAGGAAAAGGGUAGAGGCGUCUCAGAGGUAGACUAGAGGCAGAGGGGCCACAGAGCUAGGAAAAGGG